GGGCCCGCACAAGCGGAGGAGCAUGUGGUUUAAUUCGAUGAUACGCGAGGAACCUUACCCGGGCUUGAACGUGAGACGAAUGGUUUGGAAACAGGCCAGCCUACGGGCGUCUUGCGAGGUGCUGCAUGGUUGUCGUCAGCUCGUGCCGUGAGGUGUUAGGUUAAGUCCUGCAACGAGCGCAACCCUUACCCGUAGUUGCCAGCACGUUAAGGUGGGGACUCUACGGGAACUGCCUACGCAAGUAGAGAGGAAGGUGGGGAUGACGUCAAAUCAGCACGGCCCUUAUGUUCGGGGCUACACACGUGCUACAAUGGCAUGUACAGAGGGCAGCCACCACGCGAGUGGGCGCCAAUCCUCAAAGCAUGUCUCAGUUCGGAUCGGAGUCUGCAACCCCGACUCCCGUGAAGUUGGAUUCGCUAGUAAUCGCGCAUCAGCCAUGGCG
rnacentral:rRNA from 1 species